AUGGGGCGCCGGUGGGCCCCGGGGAUCUGCGCGGUGGCGCUGCUCUGGCUCGCCGCGGCCGCUGCCGGAGAUCCCGAUCCCGACGAGCUCGAGCGCGCGUUUCCAAUUGUGGAGCCAGAUUAUGGCCACACUAAACUCCGUCUGUCGGAACAAGGUCUUGAGGCCAUCCGGAGGAUCGAAAAUCCUAUCGCUAUUGUUGGUGUCAUUGGUCCAUAUCGAUCUGGAAAGUCUUUUCUCCUGAACCAACUUCUCUCCUUAUCAUGUGAUAAAGGUUUUGGAGUUGGCCAUAUGCGGGAUACUAAAACGAAAGGUAUAUGGAUUUGGGGUAAACCUGUUGAGAUGGAUGUUGAUGGCACCAAAGUAUCUGUCCUUUAUCUUGACACAGAAGGAUUUGAGAGUGUUGGAAAGUCCAAUGUAUACGACGAUAGGAUAUUUGCGUUGGCAACAGUCUUAAGUUCUGUGCUUAUCUAUAACCUUCCUGAGACGGUGCGUGAAGCUGAUAUAUCGAGGCUCUCAUUUGCUGUUGAAAUAGCCGAAGAAUUCUAUGGAAGAGUGAAGGGGGAAGAGAUUGCCUUUGAGCCAGCAAAGCUUCUCUGGCUUAUCCAGAGGGAUUUCCUGCAAGGAAAAUCAGUUCAGCAAAUGGUCAAUGAAGCCCUCCAGCGGGUACCUAAUGAUAAUGGGAACAAAUAUAUUGACGAGGUCAAUCAAAUCAGAGAUUCUUUGGCAAUUAUGGGAAACAACAGCACUGCUUUUAGCUUGCCCCAGCCUCAUCUACAAAGAACAAAGCUAUGCGACAUGGAGGACAAAGAGCUUGAGCCGUUAUACGUUACAAGGCGAGAGCAAUUGAAGCAGGUUGUUGGAUCCAUCAUUAAACCUAAAUUUGUGCAGGGAAAAACUCUCAAUGGAAAGGAAUUUGUGUCCUUUCUGCAGCAGAUACUUGAAGCUUUGAAUAAAGGAGAGAUUCCAUCAACAGGAUCUCUUGUUGAAAUUUUCAACAAGGCUAUUCUUGAACGCUGUCUGAAGGUAUAUAAGGAAAAACUGGAGGGCUUACGUCUACCUGUACCAGUAGAGAAACUGCAGCAAAUUCAUGAGGUGGCGAAUGGCGAAGCCAAAUUGCUGUUUGAUAAACAGCACUUUGGUAAGCAUCAUGCUGUACAGUCAAUCCUCAAGCUUGAAGAUGAGAUUACAAAGGUGUACAAAAACUUCCUUCUAGCUAAUGAGUAUCAAUCGUCCAAGCUUUGCGAAGCACGUUUCUCGGAAUGUGAAGAUCAAAUGGAUCACCUUCAAGUCUUGAAACUUCCUUCCAUGGCAAAGUUCAAUGCAGGUUUUUUUUACUGCAAUCGGACUUUUGUAAUGGAAUGUGUGGGGCCUGCAAAGGAAAGAUAUGAUCAUAGGAUGUCAAAGAUGCUCCUCAAAUCUCGUGCUCUUUUCAUCAAGGAAUACAAUAACAAGCUCUUCAAUUGGUUGGUGACUUUUGCUCUGGUCAUGGUCGUGCUUGGGCGCUUUGUGAUCAAGUUCUUUCUACUUGAAAUUGCUGCAUGGGUAAUGUUUAUCUUCCUGGAGACAUAUACAAGAAUGUUCUGGUCAGCAGAAUCGCUGUACUAUAAUCCAGCUUGGCACAUAAUCGUUUCAUCCUGGGAAACCAUCGUGUACAGUCCACUUCUCGAUCUGGACAGAUGGGCCAUCCCCAUAGCCUUGUUGCUAUUGUUUUGGCUUUUUUACUGGCGUUGCUUUGCUAGAAGGAAACGUGGCAGCCGCUCGGUGCUGCCACUGUACAAGAACUCUCACAAGAACUCCAGUCGCCCUAGAUCAGACUGA
rnacentral:rRNA from 1 species